rnacentral:pre_miRNA from 1 species
GGUGCUCCCUUCAAACCAAUAAACGGUCGAUCUGAUGGGUGGUACAACUGCUCGUUCAUGGUUCCCACUGUCCCAUCUCAUCAGAGAGAGAGAAGAUCGUGAGAGAGCGAGAGAUGCUUGAGAUGGGCUUGUGGUUUGCAUGACCGAGGAGCUGCAUCGUCCCCUUCGUUGACCGCUGUUUGGAUUGAAGGGAGCUCUGC